CAGUCGACGAGUUCUCGUUGAUGAUCGGUGCUUGCACCGAGAUUCAACAUGGAACGAGUGGCGGACGGGUGAGUAACACGUGGGUAACCUGCCCUUAAGUGGGGGAUAACAUUUGGAAACAGAUGCUAAUACCGCAUAGAUCCAAGAACCGCAUGGUUCUUGGCUGAAAGAUGGCGUAAGCUAUCGCUUUUGGAUGGACCCGCGGCGUAUUAGCUAGUUGGUGAGGUAAUGGCUCACCAAGGCGAUGAUACGUAGCCGAACUGAGAGGUUGAUCGGCCACAUUGGGACUGAGACACGGCCCAAACUCCUACGGGAGGCAGCAGUAGGGAAUCUUCCACAAUGGACGCAAGUCUGAUGGAGCAACGCCGCGUGAGUGAAGAAGGCUUUCGGGUCGUAAAACUCUGUUGUUGGAGAAGAAUGGUCGGCAGAGUAACUGUUGCCGGCGUGACGGUAUCCAACCAGAAAGCCACGGCUAACUACGUGCCAGCAGCCGCGGUAAUACGUAGGUGGCAAGCGUUAUCCGGAUUUAUUGGGCGUAAAGCGAGUGCAGGCGGUUUUUUAAGUCUGAUGUGAAAGCCCUCGGCUUAACCGAGGAAGCGCAUCGGAAACUGGGAAACUUGAGUGCAGAAGAGGACAGUGGAACUCCAUGUGUAGCGGUGAAAUGCGUAGAUAUAUGGAAGAACACCAGUGGCGAAGGCGGCUGUCUGGUCUGUAACUGACGCUGAGGCUCGAAAGCAUGGGUAGCGAACAGGAUUAGAUACCCUGGUAGUCCAUGCCGUAAACGAUGAAUGCUAGGUGUUGGAGGGUUUCCGCCCUUCA
rnacentral:rRNA from 1 species